UUCCACUACACAUUAUGCAGUGCAUUUUGAAUAUUGUUGUGCUAGCCCUCUACAAAUAGAUGAAGCAUCAUUGAGAAUAUUGCCAUGAGUCUAUCUUUGAUAUACUUUGGAAUAUGAAUAACACCAUAAAGAUUGAAGACCUAUUCAAUUUGUUGUGAGAUAGACUUGUCACGUUUAUUCUCUUGGAAUGCCUAGAAUGCCUUUUCUUUUUAGGAGCAAAAUGAAAAAGGGUAAAACUAGGUUAUCUGGCCAUAAGUAUGCUGAGGUACUUCAGAUAACAGGCUGUGAUUAAAAUGCAAAAAUAAAUAUUUCUAACAUUUGUUCUACCAAAAUUAUAAUGGAUUUCACUGAAAUUACUUAUUUUCACAAAAAUGUAGAAAAUUUGUCAAGUGGCAAAUCCAAGAAUAUGACCAAGUUUGAAACCAUUGCAAAGGAGGAAGCGUCUAUCAAAUACAGCAUGGGAAAUUAGAGGCAAUUGGAUUAUGCUUGUUUUCCAAGAUGCAAAGACAAUACUUCCCUACUUAACAGAGAUGACUUCAGCUUUAUAAAAUGUUUUUGAGUUUUCCAGUGAAGGUGCUAUAAGAGUACAAGGUGUAAUUAAAUUUGCUGAAAUCUGUCACAAAAAGAAAAUAUUUAACUUGGUUUUAUUUACAGUAUUUUACCACUACUAUAGUAAAGUUCUUUACACAUAUAUUAAUGAUCAUGUAAUAA